AGAACUUCAACUAUGGUGCCUAGCCGCCCUGCUUGGAUAAGGUCUUCUAUUUUGUGAGUUAGGCCAAAAUAAACACUUUAUCCUUGAGGGCUCCUGGGAAAUUUUUUUCAACAAACAA
rnacentral:precursor_RNA from 15 species